AAGGUAGUUUCAUUUCAUAGAGGUAGAUGCAAAUAUCAUAAAUUACUAAGAGUUUCACUCAAAAUGAAUUUGUCCCAUGACCAACACAACUUGAAAUUUCAAUUAUAAAACUAAGAAGGUCCAUCAUUCCCCUGAAGAUAUCAACUGCAAUUUGUUUCCUGAACAACUCCAUUCGCUUGUUACUAAGCUGAUCCAGCGGCAUAUUAGUUGACAGGAAGUCAAUAACCUUUACUGCAUAUGCUCCAGUUCUUUCACUACAAUAAUCAAAGACAGAAUUAAUUAUUAAAUAAAUUAGAAGAAUGAGUAAAACAUAAUGGAUGACACGUUUAAUUUACCUUUGUUGAAUGGCUGGCACAUCUAUAAUAUGCUUCCAGGACCAUUUCUUAGUAAGCACAUAUUGGCCUAAGUAUCCCUAGGCAUCAUGAGUGCGAGGGGUUGUACCAGUUCUUCUAGUUUACUAUCAUUAUAUAAACUGACAUUGCUAUCGUAAAUUCGAAUCAAACCCUCUGCCAAGUGAAAAAUAACAGGAACAAAAUACAUGUUAUCAUUUUGCCACACACAGUAUAACAGCUUAGCGUUGCACCACUCCACAACCUCAGAUUUUAGCAUACUUCCUUGAGGAUAUAACAUCAGGGGUGUGAGACACAAGUCUUGACAAGUAUCAACUGUCUCACAAAAGUUCAAAUCCUUUCCCUCUUUACUGUCCGCCUCCUUGAUCUUAUCUCAUAUACUGCACAUGUUGUUGCUUAAUGCAACAUCCAUAACAACAUGACUGCGGGCAUAAAGGCGUGGACGUUUUAUGUUUUGUACAUGCAUCAGUGCCAAAAGUUUCUCCACAUGCUAAAUACUAUAAAAAAUCGUAUGUUAAAUAUGGAGCUACUAAAAAGCGAAAUACAUGCAGUAAGUGAUUAAGGGACUUACAAAAAUUAAAAAGGACGAGUUAGAACUGCACAACUGCUCGAAACACCUCCAGCCAUAGCUGCCAGUCAACAAGUUUUUGAGAAACUUCUCCUUCUUGUCAAACCAUUCACAUAAUAUUUUCUUAUCUUCCUCUGAAACUGGUUUGAGUAUGUCUACCUUUGGUUUCUUCUUCUUGCUAUAUUUCAGUUUCUUCAUCUUGCUUGCAGAAAUUGGAGCAUUCCUCAAUAUGCUUUGCAAUCUUGUAACUUUGUACCAAGGUGACUCAACUACUUUAGAAGGGCUCUCAUUCUGAUUUUGCAUCUCCCCAAGGAUCAUCAACACCUUAUCCAAUUUUUCAUUCACAACCUUCAACUCUCCGCGCACGUCUGUAUCACUUGGCUGAGCAUUGCACAUCCUGCCUGGUCCUUCUCUACCAAUAUCAGAAAAAUCACCAACUAGUGGUGAACUAGGAAUACUCCCACCCAAAGGGUCAUCAUCAACAAUGUCGGCUUCAUCAUUAGUCUCUAAGCUUGCUACACUAGGCAUUUUUUUAAUAGCAGUCACCCAUUCCAAAUCAAUCGCUAGUUGGUCGAUUAUAAGAUCUGCUACCUCAUCCUAGUAUGGUAACAAAUUAUUCAUGUAGUCCAUAUCCAUCUUACGUAGGGUAGGGAUAAAGUAAUAGUUCACCUCCUGAAAUAUAGAAUAGAUAGAAGUCAUUAGACAAGCAAAACAAAAUAAUAGACACGAGGUCUAUGAUAAUCUCCUACUUUGGUUGAUUCUAAUCUACUGAUGGAGUGUUAUUGCACUCCCUAUAUUGCCACACCAGGAUCAUCAACUCUUUGCUUAAAGGGAUCCAAAUCAGGGUCAUAUGUCACUUUCUUGCUAUGCCAUCUCAACAUCCUUGGCAACGACAUCGGUAUGACCUUUGAUUUUUCGGCACUACGACCAAAUAGCGAAAUUGCUUCGUAUGCCCAUGCCUAUAUUUUUUUCAUGAACCAAAAAGUUUUAAUUUUUGCCUGCAGUAAAUAAAAUAAUAGUACUCAACUGUAAAAAAAUUUGAGAAGGUCGUUUUAAUACUUACCAUGAAUGUCCAUGGGAAGCCGUACAACACAUAACUAGCCGAUUUGGAUUUUUUACCAGAGAUAGUAUUUUCCUUCCUCUUACUCACAUAUGAUUUGUACAUUGGAAACAUGUUCCUCUUUAAAUACUCAAUUGUAAGCUCAAAAGACUCAUUGUCCCAUGGAUAUUUCAUGAAAAAUUCCAGAUUGUUAGCCAUACGAAUUCACUUCUUAUGGAUGAGCGCUAUGUUAUCCCUUGAAAGCAAGACUGAAUGGACAAACCACACCAAUACAAUCUUAAACGCCUCGACUAUGUCAAAACUCUUGGACUUCAAUUGUUUCCAAAGCAGCUCUGCAUCCACCCCUUUCCUGCUAGACUGGCAAACUUUGUCGCUUAAUGAUUGGCCAUCAUCCAUCACUUUCUUCAUAGCUUCGUUACUUGGUUUGGCACCACAGUUCAAUCCAGUCAUCUGAGAAAAUUACUUCAAUCUAAAGCGAACAUGCUUGUCUCCAACUAAAAAUCACAACUCGCGUUUCUCCGACAAUAAAUUUAGUGAAUCAACAGGGAAUGGACAAGUUGUCCAUUGAACUGUGUCAAGUGCUCUGAAAGUUUUGCAAACUGACCAAAACAACUACUAUUAAACUUUUUCAUCAAUUUUAUUGUUCUAAGUUUAUCCUGGAACUCAUGGAAUACAUUGAUCUUUAGAUCUCACACUUAUCCUGGCCAGGAAACGCCUAUGCUUUCUUAAAAAAGUUUUGAAUAUGUAUUUGGACACAUCGAUCGCCCUUACAAAUACAGGAAUUGACAGAGCAUCCUGGUCACCUUCAACUGCUGCAUUUGUUUCACUUUCCAAUACAUCUUCAAAUUGUUCAUCAUCUUCUUCAUCAUCUUCUUCUUCUUCUGCUACUUCUUCUUCUUCUUCUGCUACAUCUUCUUCUUUUUCUUCUUCAGCAUCUUUAUCAACCUCCUGAGCAGCAGUAACACCAUUUUCAUCAUCCUCCACACCUAAGGCUCCAUCAUCACUGUCCUUUUCUUCUUCAACAAUUAUUUUUUCAGAAACCUGUUCUUCCAUUUGAGUUUGUGCUGCAUUUAUGUCCAAGUCUUCUUCCUUCUCAUCAUCAACACCCUCUAAUGCUAACCUCCUUGAAAUAAAGUUUUUACUAACAGGUAUGUCCUCAUCUAAUCUAGACUUUGAUCUUGUUCUUUUUUUUACUGAUAGACUUUGAUGGCUUAUUAUUCUUUUUUCUCCUAUCACGCUUAGAAAUCUCAGCAUUUCCUUUACUAGGAAAAGCUUUAGAAGUAUCGACUUUUUGUUUUCUAAUAGUAGUUUUUGAAGGCUCGGCAAUUACCUUAGUUGGCGAUGCUUCUUUUUCUGCAUUUUCUUCCUUAU
rnacentral:lncRNA from 1 species